rnacentral:lncRNA from 1 species
AAUAGUAGAAACCUGAUAUCACAAAUGAUAAUAUCCUUUGUAGGUACAACUUUAUUCCAUGUUUGUGGCUGGAACAUGUGUACAUCAGAAACUUUAACUACAAUAUGGUAAACAUCUCCACGACCAAGCAAGAAAUCAGAAAUAGAACAGCGGACAUCUUAAGUAAAGCAAGCACCGGCCAAUUACAUAUAAGUCUGUAUUAAUCCUCAGCACUGUCCAUGACGAAGAGGGUACAUAGGGUAGCAUACAGACUGCAACAUCUGCUUGUCCUUCGACAACAUCACAACAUUAACUAACCACAUGGGUCAAACACAUAAAUAAAUAAAUGUCGGACAAUAUGGUGCAACAGAAUCGGAGCUAGCAGAGACACGGGAAACUGCCUUAGAACAUCCAAAGAGACGCCCCCAUAGCCACACAUCAUUACUUCGUGCAUCCACAAACAAAAGGAUAGGGUCCUGCAUAUAUAUAGAUAGAUAGAUUUGCAAGCCCAGAUCAGCAGGAUGUCGGAGUCAUUUCUGAUGCAUAAUAAGGUUCAUGAUAUUUAAACAGUGAUAAUGGUAGACUUUGCAUAACAUGACAACGCAUCAUAUCUCAUAAUUAGAAUACAUUAUAUUACUGAAAAAUGAACUGAGGUGACCAAUUGGAAUACUCCCAUUUAGGUGACCACAUUCCAUAGUUUAAAUUCAAAAAUUAGGCUUCUCCCUAAAGCAUACACUCAGAUAGGGUGCAUUGAAAAAGAGUCUGGAUGAAACACAGGGGCAUACCUUCGAUGUUUCAUUGCGCAUCUCAAUAGAGACAUUAUUAUCUUAUGGACCUCGUUAAAAUCAAUGAUCUUAUUAGUUGCAACUAUAAUUAUAUGAAACUGGUGCCUGCAACGAAAAAUGACAAACCAUGAUGUAUCAGAAAUGAAUUAAGCAGCUAGUUGCAGCACGACAUACCCAACUUCUCACCUCUGUCUUGCCUCCACCGACCAGUUAGAAUUUUUUUUCUUCAUUUAUCAAUACACAUAGUGACACACCAACGCCUUGACUAUGCUCUAGCUAUCACAAUGGUUUACAAAAUUCUAGAUUUGUAUUCAAACAAAUGAACUAUAUAAUGAGUCAUGAUAUGUGGGUGAGCCUUGCUUCUGUUCGGUUGUAAUUAUAGGGAGCAUGCUAGGUUGGGAGUCUAGCUUCUCUCUGUGUGUAAAGAUAGUGUGUCAAGAGAGCCUUGCUUUUGUUCGGUUACAACUUUAGCAAGCUUUCUAUAGAGAAAGUUUAAUGAGAACACUUAGAUAGCAAGUAAGCCAUGUGAGAUUAAAAAAAGCACGGACACCAGCAGGAGAACUAAAAUAUUCCAGUUUCAUAAAAUGCAUCUCCUUUGUACCUCUUAUGAUUAGAGGAAAGGCCAUAAGGGAAGAACCUAAAGUUACCAUAGAAUUUAUACAUACAUGUAAUUACAGCAGCAGGGCGCUAUGCUAUUGGUGGUAUCCUUUUUAUAUAUAUCCUCACUGGUUAGCUGACAUAAGAAAAGGAAAAGAUCAGAAGGGUAUAACAGUUAUGAAGCUAUACCAGUUAUUAAACAAUGUGCCAGGCUCACAGGGAAAAAUUCAGCGAGUUUUCCUAGGAGUAAUACAAAGAAAAACCUGAAACUGAAAAUAUACACUCAUAAGAGUGGCCGAAGUAAGUUUUCCGCAUAACACAGCGAAUGCAAUUUCAUAAGAGGUAGCAAAACCAUGUAAUGCAAAUAGUCUGUGUUUUUUUGGGAUGUAUAGAGCAAAACGAUUCAAUAACCCAAGGGGAAUAUUAUGUUGCAGCGAAUAUAUCAAGCUGGGUUAUAAUGCAUAAAAGGAUGACAACAGACAAUAGUGAGAUAAGAAGGUAAACAGGGUUUGUCGGGCACUAAUUAUGUUGUAGCACAAAAUACUAAUAAAUAGUAACUCUAAAGAUCCGUUAGGAGCUGGGGAAGGAACUGUAAAUAGCAUACGUCAGCAGAUUAAGCAAAGAGGCACUGUGAUUAUACAGAGAGACUCCAACACCAAACAAUCAAAGGGCGACAUCAAUCACAUACAUGGGAUGGAGGAAGAGAGCACAGACCAUACUUAAAGCAUGUCAUCAGAGAACUAACCAUCUGGAUAGGACAUGAAAAUGCAACUUUUCCUAUUAUUUGCUUUCAUAGAAACCAUCGACACCAACAGCUCAAAGAUCUACUUCUACAUAACAAAUUCAGACAAUAAAAUUAAAAUUGAUCACCAUGGUUACACAUUUCCUAUUAUUUACUUUCGAAGUGUAACACCAUAUUGAGCAAGACUAAGGUAAAAGCAGGAAAGCUUAAAAUUGAUCACCACAAUUACACAAAAGGCGCAUUUUUCCUUCUAUAGGGAACCAAAUAUAGCUCAAUGUAUGAUAAUUAUUUGUUAUUAUAUAUUUAAUCAGCAAAGUCUUGAGAGAGAGGGGGUCUGACCUAUUGAAGGGGCCACAGGAGCAAGGGGUGAGGAGAUGCUCGGAAGCGGCACCGCUAGCCUACAACACCUCAAAGGCUGAAGCCGACCAGCUAGACUCCUGAUGCUCACCCGCCCGCACUUGGUCCUCUUGCCUAUGACACUGUAUAGCAGAAACACAUAAACUUGAUCACACAGAGAUUAGAGCAAGUUUCUUGUUGCAAAAUAAGAGAGCAUAUUCCUAACACACACAAUCGAUGCUAUUCAUUCCCAUCCAGUCGUAUGUGUAUAUGUUUUCACUAUGCGGUUUGAUACACUGAGACUUCACCUCCAAUUCAAGCAUAAUCAUAUGACAAAUGGUAUAGUGAAACUGACUUUGAUUUUCUAAAGCUUGGAGCCUUAAAUAUUUGAAUAAGAGAACAUAAAAAAACAAGUUCACUGAGUAAUCCUGUAUGGAGAUCACAUUAUCUGUCUAGAGAAGUACAACAAAACGGAUUGUGGAGGGAUAACUUCAACACGCAAAUAGUGGCCCUUUGAGCAAAAAUUCUAGAAUCUCUUGAAACAAUUACGUGAGUGCGGUGUAUGCGCAUAACUUACCUUAGCGACAGGUGGAAGAGGCAGUCAGAACUACGCACGGUUGCUCUCCUUCUUCCAACCUUCCUCUUCAGCUUGCCUCCUCUUUUUGUAAGCACUGCCCUGGCCAUGGGGUGAAAAAAAUAAGCAUUUGCUGUAAUAACCUAUGUAAACUUCUUCAAUCCAAAGGACAAACAAAUGUUAUCUUCUUCAUAUGCUUAUAGAAACUGAGGAACAUGUUUAGAGCCGUUGGAAAUAGAAGCAAAUAUAUCUGGACUAUAUCCAGUUGAAAAUAGGAGGACGUGUAGCUUCCAGAAUUUUAAAGCUAGCAGCAUGGAAAAGGGCCAGCCACCACUUGUAUGUUACCGCUGAAUAAAUCUAAAAAAAUUAAUAUAGAAGGUUCAUGCACCUUUUCACACAUAGUUUGGCCCUAUUUAACCAGUACUAAGCAAAAGAGCGUAGAUAUUGCAAUCCAAAUGGAACAUGAGAUUGCAAUACCGAACCUGUUGCCGGACCGGACGGCGGCGAGGAUGCCGGCGUCCUCCCGACAAAUCGCUCUAUGAAUAUUCUACAUUUGUUGUGGUCAUCGGUGUUGAUGGAAAGCAGAGUGGCUUGGAGAGGCACACCACUUUCGACCAUAAAGAGCACUAAAACUUCCGCUAAUAGUAGCAUGCUAACCAGUAAAAUAUAUGCAUACAUUAUAAAUAGUCAAUAUAGAUAAUACUUCAUAUCAUCUAAGAAUAAAAUCCAACAGGUAGGCUUCUCACUAUUAAUCAGUAGGAGAUGGCUACCUCAUAUUUUACUAUUUGUUUACACCUAAAAGUAAAAUAUACGGCUUCUCACUAUUAAUUCAGGAGGCAGGCUGUUCACUGAGAGUUUUUACAAUGUCAAUCAUAGGAUUCAUACCUCUGUAUCGAUGGAAAAUGUAUCGUAAACAUGAUCCCAGUCUUGUUCAGCCACUACAUUGGCUUCCCCUGCAUUUCGAACAGGCACUACAUCGUUAAGCAGCAGAACCACAUAUGCACCAAUAGGAAAUUGAGUUUACUUCAGAUUUUUAAAGAACACUUACAGAGCAUCCGUAGACAUCUUCCUGCAUACACUUCGCCUUCUCAAUGUCAAGCCUACUUUUCCCAUAUCUGAUGCCGAAACCAUGCUUCCGUGAAUAAAGAUUGUAAAAGUCUUUAUUUUUUUCCCACGGAAUCCAAUGUUAGCCCAAUAGUAGCGUGCUCACCCAACUUAUCUGCACACCCCUGAAUCGUUUGCUCCAGUGCACCAAUUCUCCCCGGACACGGCAUCCGAUCCUGUAAUUUUAGUGGAGCGGAGUGUGCCGACCCUACUGGGACAAGGUGUCCUGUAAUUUCAACGGAGCGGAGAGUUAGCAUAUUCCAUAAAAUGCACUGCAUAAACUUAAUCAAGCUCUGCAAUGGCAUGAUGAGAUCUUGUGUUUCUAAUCUACAUCAUAUUCUACCUCCGAAAAUUCGGUCGGCAAUUAACAUACAUGUUCAUACAUUGUCUACUACAAUCUAAUUUUUAAAUGAUCAAUAUCCUAGCUCUGUUGGAUCGAUGGCCUCUUAACCAUAACUCUGAAAAUUCCGUCAGCAAUGACACACUUGGUCAGAGAUCGUGUGUAAACUGAGGAAUCUUCAGUAAAAUGAUAAAUCUACUGCUUCAUGCCCUAUCGAUGGCUCUUCACUAAAACAUUGAAAACUAUGUGUGCACUUGACAUACAUGUCGCAUAGACCGUGUUUAAAGUUGAAUAUGCCACCACAUGUUUGCUCCAUGGCCUCACUGUAAUUACAUCCAUUCAGAUUUCAGUCGGAAUCACACAACUUGAAUUAAAUGUACCUGAGCCGACACUGUUUUCUAGAUAUUCAGAACAGGUUUUCUUGGUCAAUCAUCAAGGCUAUGCAAGGAAAUGGUUGCAUCAAAUUACCUAUUUGUCCAACCAGCGGCUUGUGGGUCCACUUUCCCCAUCACUUGAGUCGACACUGUGUCGUCGCUUUCCACACUCAUGAAUCAAGUCAAAUGUUAAACCUAUAUAUGCAGGCUCAACUACAUGGUCUCCCAACUUGUCUCCGAAGAGUAUGCUCCAGCGAGCCAACUCUCUCUACACAUGGUGUCCUAUCCGGCAGAUGUUUGCGCCUACCCUUACUCUCUGCCCAGCAAAAAAUAAGCCACAAACCAAAAUUAAAAGCAUGUGAUUUUCCACUCUAGUUAACAAUUCAUAAGCAGAACACAAAGUUUGCCUAGUGUGUAGAACAGUCGUGGAAAUGCAACCAGCUAUGCACCCAACACUACAUCCUUUUUUUAAUUGAUCUAAUAUUUUUUUGUAUAUGCAAAUGAGCCAGUGCAUGCCACACAUCAUCUAAUCCCCUCCCCAUUUUGCAAACAAAUGACCAGGAAAAUGAAUACCUUCUUGUCAUGGUGGAGGUGACCGGCCUACCUGAAUAGGCAAGAAACCUGCAACCAACGCCCGGGACACCAAUCCAUGCCAAGCCCGGCCAGUAC